rnacentral:rRNA from 1 species
GAUGAACGCUGGCGGCGUGCCUAAUACAUGCAAGUCGAGCGAACAGACGAGGAGCUUGCUCCUCUGACGUUAGCGGCGGACGGGUGAGUAACACGUGGAUAACCUACCUAUAAGACUGGGAUAACUUCGGGAAACCGGAGCUAAUACCGGAUAAUAUCUUGAACCACAUGGUUCAAUAGUGAAAGACGGUUUUGCUGUCACUUAUAGAUGGAUCCGCGCCGCAUUAGCUAGUUGGUAAGGUAACGGCUUACCAAGGCAACGAUGCGUAGCCGACCUGGGAGGGUGAUCGGCCACACGGGAACGGAGACACGGCCCAGACUCCUACGGGAGGCAGCAGUAGGGAAUCUUCCGCAAUGGGCGAAAGCCUGACGGAGCAACGCCGCGUGAGUGAUGAAGGUUUUCGGAUCGUAAAACUCUGUUAUUAGGGAAGAACAAAUGUGUAAGUAACUAUGCACGUCUUGACGGUACCUAAUCAGAAAGCCACGGCUAACUACGUG